CCACGAACCAUCACAGCCAUCUUCACCGGCGAUUAGCUUCGGCUGCGUUCUCCUCCACCGAAUCCGACCGCCGCCGUCACCAUUAAUCUCAUGUACUCUCUAAUCUCUCUCCUUGACUGUUGUUACACACUUAGAGAUUAGAAUCUUCUCCGGUGAAAGUAAGCUUCAGCCUCCACCUGUUUCACGGCGGCUCCCAAUUUCGACGAAUCAAAAAACAUCUCCUUCGUCUUCUUUCUCAUGAACCUGACCCGAUUUGCUCGUCUUCUCCGGUGAAUCGGACUGCCGCCGUCACCGUUCAUCCAAGGAUAUCGGUUCCAUUUCUCCGACGAGCUUCAUCUCUUCUCCGAUGAACAACAAACCCGUGUUUCUCUUCUUCUUUGAUAACUACAGAAACUCCACCUGAGAAAUUCUAUUCUUGAUUUCUCUUACUCUUCACAGCUCCACCUGAAGCAGAAUCAACCUUUUUCAAAUUCUUAACCUACUUCCUUGGAUUUUUUUUUCACCAGAUACUCCACCUGGAACUAGUGACUCUUACACAGCUCCAGUAUCCUACAGGUAACUCCAACUCCAAUUAAAUACCUUACUCAAUUCUGACACUUGAGUACUUCUCACAAAACUAACUCAACUUGAUUAUCCUGUUUUGCGAGACUAUUGGAGUUACCUGGAGCCGCUGCUCUACUUCAGUGGAUGUUAAGAAGCUCACAGCAAUGCUGGAACUUCAUACCAGUUUAGAAAACCACUUACUCCCAACCACCUUCUCGUUUUUCCUUUGAGAAUCUAUGUCUUCAUCUGUAGCACUCUUCCAAUGCUUCCCUUUCGUGCUUUUCGUCGUUUCCUUAUAGGUUUUAUAUUCUUUUGUUUCAAUUUCUAUAGCAACCAAAGCACAUGCCUCAGAACUUGAAACUUCACAUUUAACUUCUUCUGAACUUUUUAAUUCUUUUGAUGGAGAUGAAUCUCUAUCUUGAUUUGAUGAGCUCUUUCUUUCAAAACCAUAGGAAGUGGAACCUUGAAUUAGAUUCUCAUUAGAUGUCACCUUCUUAGACCUCCUCUUUCUUGAUUUCUUUUCAGCCUUAGCAAUAUCAUUUUCACUAGUUUCAACUCGUGACACAUUCACUUCACUCUUAGCAACUGUGCCUUGAAGAUAAUAGAGCCCUUGGUGGUACUUUCCAGAUAUCACCUUCUUCUUAUUUUUGUAGAAGUGAACCAUGAAAUCACUUUCCUCAUACUUGCAGCCUGAUUUUUCUAGCAUCCCAUAAGAAAUAAGAUUUCUACCCACAUCCGGCAUGUAUUUUACAUCCUUAAGUAUCACUACAGAACCAUCACGAUUCUGAAUUUUGAUUUUCCCACUUCCUUUGAUUUCUCCAUGAGUGUUGUAAGCCAUUAGCACUCUACCACCAUUGAAUUUCUUGAAGUCAAACAAGACUUCUUUAUCGGAUGUACUAUGGAAUGUACAACCAGAGUCCAUAACCCAUUCCUUGUAUGUGCUUUGAGUGCUCACGGUUAACACCAAAGGUUGCGCAGGCUCAGUUGCAACAUUAGCCGAUUCUGCAGGUUUCUUCCUUUGAGGGCAUUCCCUUUUCCAGUGAUCUUCCUUUCCACAGAUAAAACAACCUGUGUUGUUACUUGGCCUUGAUUGAAAUUUCCCGUUCCCACUAGAACUUCGAGUCCAUGGCCUUUUAUUCCCCUUAUAAUUUGAUCUGCCUCUAGAUUCAACCAUUAAUGCUUCUGAAUCUGGUAUUGACACGUUCAACAAUCCCUUUUCUUUCAACUCAAUUUCUUUUGAGUAUGCUGAACUUAUGACUGCGUUUAGUGUCAGGGUAUCCUUCCCACUCCCAUACUUGAGUGUAUCAACUAGUGAAUCAUAUUGUGGUGGUAAGCCGGCCAUGAAUUGUAGAGCCUGGUCUUCAUCACUAAUGUUGAUGUCUAAACUUGCUAGAUCUGCAACUAGCUUGAGAAAAGUAUCCAGAUUUUCCUCAAUGCUUUUAUUUUCCACCAUCUUGAAGCUUGUGAACCUGUGCUUCAAAUAGAUCCUGUUGGGUAAGGUCUUUGUCUGGUAGUCUCUUUCAAGUGCCUUCCAAAUCCCAAGUGCAGUAGUCUCCUUCAUAACCUUCCUUAGAAUCAGAUCGCUUAGGCUCAUGCUGAUCAGAUUCUUUGCUCUUUUAUCUUUCUCUGCUUUCUUUGGAUCUACCCUAGGUUCACCUCCUUCCUCUUGAC